CAGGUGAUUGAGACCAGCCUGGGCAAUAUAGUGAGACCUUGUCUCUACAAAAAUAACAAUAAAAAAGUAGCCUAUCACAAUGGUACGCACCUGUAGUUCCAGCUACUCAGUCAGUUGACGUGGGAAGACUGCUGGAGAUCCGGAGGUUAAGAUUGCCGUCAGCCAUCAUCAUGCCACUACAUUCCAGCCCUGGGUGACAGAGUGAGACCCUGUUUCAAAAAAAAGAAAAAUUGAUGUCUUUAUGCAACUCAUUAUAAUUUUUUAAAUGGAAACUCAUGCUUGAUAUUACCUCAACAGUAUGUCCCCGAGAAAGUGUUGGAGCCUUUACCUAGACUUUCCAAUGAAAAAACACACAUACACACAAACACAGAGUACAGACAAUGUAAAAGGAGAAGGCAAUAAAAGAAGAUGCCAAAAAGAAUCCUCAGCAUUAAUUGUUUUCAGAGCCAGGCAUGGGGACUCAGCUUGAUAUUAACACUGCAUGAAUGUUUGGUUGGCCCUGUCAUAUCUACAUAUAAUUGAUGACGUGUCCCCUCUCCUUUGUAAGGCCUCCUGAAUAACAUCCUUCCUUGGAGGUAAUUAUAUAUAUUUAUUUUUAGUUACUUUGUAUUGCAUAAAAUAUAUAUGAUUUAUUAUUUUUUUUUAAAACUCAAGUCAGCCUACCACUGAAGAUCGUGUUGUGACAGAAGCAGUACAAAGAAAGAAUGUACAGACAUUGAGAGCAGGUACAUUUUCAAUACAAAUGGAAUGCUGGAAAUAAGUAUAUUAAAUGAUUGGAAGUACUCACAUUUUUCUUACCCCUAAUUCUUUUCAUUCUAAAUUGAAUGGAAGGCAUUGACAUAAAUGUUAUUGUUGGUAUUCAUGUUUCAAUAAAAUUAAAUUUAGAAGUAUAAGAAAACAAGAUUUUAAAAAUAUGAGUUUUAACUCAGAUGCUUCUAUUUUAAUAUUUUGAAUAGCAUAACAUUUCCAAUAAGGAAUUUUUAUACUUGUCGGAUUCAAUGCAGUGAAUUUUGAGGUUCUAAGAUAUUUCCAGUAUCUUAUGUGCUAGUUGGAGUUCUGAUACUUACCUAAAGGAAUGCUUUAUUUAGAUAUUAGUUUCUGUAUUAAUGUUAGAGGCUUCCUGUUAAUGUUAUUACACCAAUGCUGUGAAACCAAUGAGAUGGUCUAAUGAGCAGACUGUGUGCAUGUGUGUGUAUGGCUAUGUAUAUGGGUGUGUUUGUGGCAUCUUUGAUUAUUAAAAACUAGGAAAGUAAUUCAUUCAUAACUGACAGUCUUAAAAUGGUGGUUUUGAGACUUUUUGGUAUAAACGUUUUUUAAAAAAAUAAUUGCAUUGAGGCUACCAAUAUCACUGGCUGUUUUGCAUUUCAAUAUCCUUUUGAAAUCCUUAACUAUAUUGUGAGUCUCAGAAAUAAUAUGCAGAAGUUUUAUUUGUGUCCUAAAAUGGAAUGUGAGUGGUUCUACACUUUACAUUUCAUUCUGCCACUUUCUUUUGGGUACUUUGUAUUAUAUUUUCGAGAUGUAUCCACACUGAUAUGAUUCGCUCUGGUUUAAUUCAUUUUAUACUUGUCAUUGCGUUCCCUUAUGCCACUCUACCACAUUGAAUUAGACUCUCCUGUUGCUGAUAAAUGAAGAAAGAAAAAAAACAGAAAAGGAAAAAUAGGUAGGUGUGGUGGCUCACACC